rnacentral:lncRNA from 1 species
CGUAUUAUUCAUGCAUUUUAUUAUUAUUUUUCAUGUUAUAUAUGGCCCUAGCAAGUUGCUAAUAAACUAACUAGCAAAUUAAGUGGCUAGCAAGUAAGGUUGUCACCAGGGGCAACACCAAGUUGGUUACAAUAAUCAAUGUAGUAGUCGACGCGUUUCUGUACAGUAGCAGGGUUUCCACCAUCGCAUUCGAGCGCACCGUUAAUGGCUCGGAUAGUUUCCCCGAAUCCUUCAGCAAUGACCGGCCGAACAUUGUUCAUCCAGUACCAUAGUGCAGUCUUAAAAGCAAUAAGUGGGUCAUUGGCCACGCUUUCAGGGGCGUUUAGUCCGUCGAACCCAAUACUCUCUCCGGCCGGACCGUAAUUGUAGUUCCACGAUAGUUGGAUGGGUCCCCGGCCGUAAUAACCUUUGUUCGGGUUGCAUGGAUACUCCG